UACGUAGGGUGCAAGCGUUGUCCGGAAUUAUUGGGCGUAAAGAGCUCGUAGGCGGUCUGUCGCGUCGGCUGUGAAAUCCCGGAGCUCAACUCCGGGUCUGCAGUCGAUACGGGCAGACUGGAGUUCGGCAGGGGAGACUGGAAUUCCUGGUGUAGCGGUGAAAUGCGCAGAUAUCAGGAGGAACACCGGUGGCGAAGGCGGUUCUCUGGGCCUGUACUGACGCUGAGGAGCGAAAGCGUGGGGAGCGAACAGG
rnacentral:rRNA from 1 species